CGCCCAGGUGUUGUGCACGUAAAUCCUCAGGCACUCACAAAAAUUCUGGAAUGAUCAAAAAGGGCAAAGAGCCACUAUUUUCUCAAGAAUAACAUUUUGAAAGAGGCAACAGAGAUGUUUGGUGCUUAUCUCGAGGGUGGCAAUCAUUGGAGCUUUUUUCAUUGCAAUUUUGACAGAAGGUGCAUCACCUACUUCAACUCCCUUGGAGAGACAGAGUGGCAGUGCCAAGCAGUUGCUCAACACUGGUGUACAUUUGCAGCUUCAAGGGGGGUGAAAGGAGAGUGGGACAUUAAAACCACAAAACACACUUUACAAUCCGAUUCCGUGUCAUGUGGUAUCCACACACUUGCAGUAAG